rnacentral:lncRNA from 1 species
GCUACAUCUGAGAGCUGCAGGCCUUCCAGAGCCCUGAGACCUACUGAGCCUUCCUGCAGAGGUGUGCAGCCCACAAGGCGCUGUGUGCGCUCACAGCAGUCACCCUGAUUGAAGAGCCAAAGCAGUUGACAUCCAGUCUCCCUUUUCAGCCCAUCCUGAACUGGUUGAAGAUUAAAGGGAGAUGAACACAAUGGCCUGUACUGUGGGACCUGCAGGCAGCUCUUCAGCUCCCUGCGCAACAAGAAGCAACCUGCUGCAGAGGCAGCACCUGCAGCGCCUCACAGGGGAAUUCAAAAAAGAUUCUGCCGCAUACUCAAAGCACCCAGAGCCUCUGGAAGAAGAGAAAGGACAAGAUUCAAAUGAGGCUGAGCCAGAGGAGGAAGCUGAGGGCCCCGAAUCCCUUCCGCUCAGAAGUCUGCAUCCAGAGAGGAGUUUUGCUUCACUCGACUUGUGUUUCUCGCAAGGGUUUGUCUAUAGAUUGCUGAAAAGUGAGUAAUCAAGUUCAGCAACUCCCUGGCAACUGUGAUGACCUAGGGUUUAUAAUCCUAGUCAGAGUAACCUACAGAGAGGUUAUAAUAUGAGGUGGAACAAAACAGAAAAGUCGCUAGAGGAAUAACGAU